CAACAAAGCCAGCAACGACCCCGUGUAUGAGCAUCAUCACCCACAGUACACGAAACUGUACACGGUACCCAACAGAACUAUAAAGGAAUGUCGGACCUACACUGACGUCAGCGGAAAGUAGUUCAUCGAUGUUAAGAAGGACAAAACUGUGAAGGUUGGGACAAUCGACAAGGAACAGAAGCAAGGAUGAAGACAUGGCGCUGUCUCUUGGCUUCAUGCAGUUACGUAGCUGAUAUCCCUGGAUUAUAUUCCUUUGUAUAUUGUUCAUACGUUUAUGAACUUUAACUCUUGAGUAAAUAAAUGGAAGUGCAGUAAGAAUAU